GAUGAACGCUGGCGGCGUGCCUAAUACAUGCAAGUCGAGCGAACGGACGAGAAGCUUGCUUCUCUGAUGUUAGCGGCGGACGGGUGAGUAACACGUGGAUAACCUACCUAUAAGACUGGGAUAACUUCGGGAAACCGUAGCUAAUACCGGAUAAUAUUUUGAACCUCAUGGUUCAAAAGUGAAAGACGGUCUUGCUGUCACUUAUAGAUGGAUCCGCGCUGCAUUAUCUAGUUGGUAAGGUAACGGCUUACCAAGGCAACGAUGCAUAGCCGACCUCAGUGGGUGAUCGGCCACACUGGAACUGAGGCACAGUCCACACGCCUAGGGGGGGCAGCAGUAGAGAAUCUUCCGCGAUGGGCGAAAGCCUGAUGGAGGAACACCGCCGGAGUGAUGAAGGAGUUCGGAUCGUAAAACUAUGUUAUUAGGGAAGAACAUAUGUGUAAGUAACUGUGCACAUCUUGACGGUACCUAAUCAGAAAGCCACGGCUAACUACGUG
rnacentral:rRNA from 1 species